UACGUAGGGGGCUAGCGUUGUCCGGAAUCAUUGGGCGUAAAGAGCGUGUAGGCGGCCCGGUAAGUCCGCUGUGAAAGUCGGGGGCUCAACCCUCGAAUGCCGGUGGAAACUGUCGGGCUCGAGUGCGGAAGAGGCGAGUGGAAUUCCUGGUGUAGCGGUGAAAUGCGCAGAUAUCAGGAGGAACACCGAUUGCGAAGGCAGCUCGCUGGGACGCGACUGACGCUGAGACGCGAAAGCGUGGGGAGCAAACAGG
rnacentral:rRNA from 1 species